rnacentral:rRNA from 1 species
CGCGCAGGCGGUCGAUCAAGUCGAGUGUGAAAGCCCCCGGCUCAACUGGGGAGGGUCAUUCGAUACUGAUCGACUCGAAGGCAGGAGAGGGUAGUGGAAUUCCCGGUGUAGUGGUGAAAUGCGUAGAUAUCGGGAGGAACACCAGUGGCGAAGGCGACUACCUGGCCUGUUCUUGACGCUGAGGCGCGAAAGCUAGGGGAGCAAACA